rnacentral:lncRNA from 1 species
CUGUCACAGACAUCCUUUGUUUAAAUGGAUGUGGUCAAGGGAGGGGCCACCGCCAAUUACUAAAUAACAUACUGAAUGAAGUUUCCAUUGAAUGCACUCAGAACCACUUGGUAGUAUACUCAAGCCAUCCAUGGCUUUCAUAGGCUCGACACUAGUGAACUUGGAGUCCAGGAUGGCAAGACUGAGAUAAGAGAAGAUUUCAAUAUUAUAAUAAGAGCUACCAGAGGAGGAGCUGCUAGAAAUUUAAACAGAGGUACAAAAGGCCACAUCUGAAGGUUUAAAAGACCAGAAUGGCAACUGAAUGGAACACUGGAAUGAACUGGAAGGUAGGAAGCUGUUUAAAUUCCUAUACAAGUGAUCAAGUUAAACUUCAAAAGCACUUGAAUUAAGGGAAAAAGCA